rnacentral:rRNA from 1 species
GACGAACGCUGGCGGCGUGCUUAACACAUGCAAGUCGUACGGUAAGGCCCUUUCGGGGGUACACGAGUGGCGAACGGGUGCGUAACACGUGCGUAACCUGCCCACAACUUUGGGAUAACGCUAGGAAACUGGUGCUAAUACUGGAUAUGUGCUCCUGCUGCAUGGUGGGGGUUGGAAAGCUCCGGCGGUUGUGGAUGGACUCGCGGCCUAUCAGCUUGUUGGUGGGGUAGUGGCCUACCAAGGCGGCGACGGGUAGCCGGCCUGAGUGGGUGACCGGCCACAUUGGGACUGAGAUACGGCCCAGACUCCUACGGGAGGCAGCAGUGGGGAAUAUUGCACAAUGGGCGCAAGCCUGAUGCAGCAACGCCGCGUGCGGGAUGACGGCCUUAGGGUUGUAAACCGCUUUCAGCAGGGACGAAGCUUUUUGUGACGGUACCUGCAGAAGAAGCACCGGCUAACUACGUG